CUACGGGUGGCUCCAGUGGGGAAUAUUGCACAAUGGGCGCAAGCCUGAUGCAGCCAUGCCGCGUGUAUGAAGAAGGCCUUCGGGUUGUAAAGUACUUUCAGCGGGGAGGAAGGGAGUAAGGUUAAUACCUUUGCUCAUUGACGUUACCCGCAGAAGAAGCACCGGCUAACUCCGUGCCAGCAGCCGCGGUAAUACGGAGGGUGCAAGCGUUAAUCGGAAUUACUGGGCGUAAAGCGCACGCAGGCGGUUUGUUAAGUCAGAUGUGAAAUCCCCGGGCUCAACCUGGGAACUGCAUCUGAUACUGGCAAGCUUGAGUCUCGUAGAGGGGGGUAGAAUUCCAGGUGUAGCGGUGAAAUGCGUAGAGAUCUGGAGGAAUACCGGUGGCGAAGGCGACCCCCUGGACGAAGACUGACGCUCAGGUGCGAAAGCGUGGGGAGCAAACAGGAUUAGAUACCCCGGUAGUC
rnacentral:rRNA from 1 species